UUCACCGCUCUCGGUGACCUUCCCCACCUUGUUUUCCUAUUGUCCGGACCUGUUUCUAUUGCUAAGUUGGCGUCCCAUGGUUGGAACCUGGCCUUCCGCCGAUCCUUGUCGCCUGUAGAGUUUGAAGAUUGGCAAUGCCUUACUGCAUCCUUCCCCUCGCUCUUGACGGAUAUGGAUUCGGUGAUCUAGCCGUACUCUGCCUUGGGGCGCUUUUCUAUUAAAUCGCUCUAUUCUAAGCUUAUUGGUGGCUCUCCUACUAACCGUUUCUCUCAGAUUUGGAAGGCUCGGAUCCCUCCUAAAGUUAAGAUCUUCUUGUGGCAAGCCUUUAGGGGCCGGUUGCCUUCGGCUGACCAGAUUCACAAGAGGAAUGGUCCGGGCUCUCUAUUUUGUGCCCUAUGUGGUGAAUUAGAGGACUCGUCACACAUUUUCUUUCACUGUGCCUUGGCUAAGCUCAUCUAGAGUUGUGUUCGUGAGUGGCUCCAGGUCUCCUGGGCCCCUAUUUCUUUCUCUGAUCUGCGGACCCAUGCGAAUACCUUGUCUGGUGUCUCCAGACGCAUCUUCUAGCAUUGGAAAUCAUUGACUAAGGUGGAUGACCAGGAUGUGCUCUCUUUGCUUAUCUCCAAAAUUCGGGCCUCGGCGUCUAACUUAUGCAGUCAAGAGCAGGAUGCUUAGCCUCUUCAGUCGUCAUUCGCGCGCUCAUUUUGGGUAGCUUUUCUCCGGCCUGCGCGCCGUGUUCUGGCUAGGGAGCCAUGUACCUUUGACUCUAGUUCUCUCUUUCGACCCAUGGUUGGGGUCUGGUUGGGUGUCUAUUUCGAACUCUUGUGUGGUUGCUACCUGCCUUAUGGCUUUAUUUAUAAAGUCGGGCGUAUGUCUUUUCUCUAAAAAGAUAAUACCCUGCACACUGCUGCCAAAAA